rnacentral:lncRNA from 1 species
GCUCUGCUCUCGGCCGCUUUCAGCUUUUCCACGCGGUGAUGGCAAGACAAGCGAUAUCUCGCUAUCAGAUUGGGAUUUGGGAAUGCGGCCAGAGAGGAGAGGGCAACAUUGUUUUCGGUUGUGGAUACAUGUCGCGAUCAGGUGGUGGGUGGACAGGAUUUGGCAAGAUUGCUGGUUGAUCCUCAAAACGAUAUCAGUUAACUGCCGUGUCAGAUACUAGCACACACAUUGGACUUGCAUGGAUGAUUAGCGGGGAUUGAGCUGGGAAGUGAUUGCGCUUUAGGGGAAAGAAUUACGUACUACUUUAUUUGCAUCGAACAUACACUCACC